GAGCUGUUUCUGAAGAACCGUCCACUAGAUUAUACGUCACGCUGGCAGCGUCGCCUGGAAGACGCACAUCCGCCGUCUGCUGACUGGAGGGGAAACGCAGUUGAGGAUCAUAUUUUAUUUUCAGACAAAGAUUAUUUCAAAUGGAUUUAAUUAAAUAAUACCAUUGUACUGAGACAUACAAAGACAGGAAUGUGUUGAUUGAUUAGUGCAAAUAAAACUAAUGUUUACUACAGUACAUUUAAGGCAGUUUAAUUAAGUCUUAUUUAGAUUUAGUAAGUAGCCAGCUACUGUAGGUCUAUUCUGCUCCAACAUGGAGUAACAAUACAUCAUGUAGAUGUUUAUAAUGAACAGACUAGGUCUAUACUGCUCUUACAUGGUGUAACAAUACAUCAUGUAGAUGUAUAUAACGAACAGACUAGGUCUAUACUGCUCCUACAUGGUGUAACAAUACAUCAUGUAGAUGUAUUCUACCGUCCAAAAGUUUGGAGUCACUUAGAAAUGUCCUUGUUUUUGAAAGAAAAUCAAAUAUUUUAAUAUAUGAAAACCAGUUUUUGCUUUGUCAUUAUGGGGUAUUGUGAUGGGGUAUUGGGAUGUCAUUAUGGGGUAUUGUGUGUACAUUGAUGAGGGGGAAGAAAAUAUAUUUAAUCCAUGUCAGAAUAAGGCUGUAACAUGACAAAAUGUGGAAAAAGUGAAAGGGUCUGAAUACUUUCCCGAAUGCACUGUAUAUAUAGGGGCAGUACUCAGUGACAUCACUUCAUGAAACAGGAGCUCCUCCUUCUCAUCAGACUCCUGAUGAUCAACCUCCUCCUUCACAUCUGACUCCUGAUGAUCAACCUCCUCCUUCUCAUCUGACUCCUGAUGAUCAACCUCCUCCUUCUCAUCUGACUCCUGAUGAUCAACCUCCUCCUUCUCGUCUGACUCCUGAUGAUCAACCUCCUCCUUCACAUCUGACUCCUGAUUAUCAACCUCCUCCUUCACAUCUGACUCCAGUGAUCAAUCACGAGCGUCUUCCUUUUUGGGGGAUCCCGAUGGACGACGUCAUCGAAUAGGCCGUCAUCACGACCACAAGUUAAUUGUCAUUCAGGUUAUCAAUGGGAAGAGCAUUAGCAAGAUCUCCUGUCUGGUAACUUGUCUCAUUUAAUGGAUUUACAUUGGCAGGUGAACAUGGAGAAACCCCAUUAAAAAAAUUGCAGAAACA